rnacentral:miRNA from 9 species
AGUGGUUCUCUAGGGCCAAAUA